UACGGGGGGUGCAAACGUUGCUCGGAAUUAUUGGGCGUAAAGCGCACGUAGGCGGUCCUCUAAGUCGGGUGUGAAAGCCCGGGGCUUAACCCCGGAAGUGCACUCGAAACUGGAGGGCUUGAGUAUGGAAGAGGGUCUCGGAAUUCCCGGUGUAGAGGUGAAAUUCGUAGAUAUCGGGAGGAACACCAGUGGCGAAGGCGGAGACCUGGGCCAAUACUGACGCUGAGGUGCGAAAGCGUGGGGAGCAAACAGG
rnacentral:rRNA from 1 species